rnacentral:rRNA from 1 species
UCUGCCCUUUGGCCUGGAAUAACACGAGGAAACUUGUGCUAAUACCGGAUAAGUCUUUACGGAGAAAGCUUUAUGCACCAUUGGAUGAGCCUGCACUUGAUUAGUUAGUUGGUAGGGUAAUGGCCUACCAAGACUGUGAUCAAUAGCUGAUUUGAGAGGAUGAUCAGCCACAUUGGGACUGAGACACGGCCCAAACUCCUACGGGAGGCAGCAGUGGGGAAUCUUGCACAAUGGAGGAAACUCUGAUGCAGCGAUGCCGCGUGAGUGAAGAAGGCCUUUGGGUUGUAAAGCUCUUUCGUCGGGGAAGAAAAUGACUGUAC